ensembl:piRNA 21ur-4680 ncRNA
UCGGUAGCUAAUUUUCGUACG